rnacentral:rRNA from 1 species
CGCUGGCGGCGUGCCUAAUACAUGCAAGUCGAGCGGACAGAUGGGAGCUUGCUCCCUGAUGUUAGCGGCGGACGGGUGAGUAACACGUGGGUAACCUGCCUGUAAGACUGGGAUAACUCCGGGAACCGGGGCUAAUACCGGAUGGUUGUUUGAACCGCAUGGUUCAAACAUAAAAGGUGGCUUCGGCUACCACUUACAGAUGGACCCGCGGCGCAUUAGCUAGUUGGUGAGGUAACGGCUCACCAAGGCAACGAUGCGUAGCCGACCUGAGAGGGUGAUCGGCCACACUGGGACUGAGACACGGCCCAGACUCUUACGGGAGGCAGCAGUAGGGAAUCUUCCGCAAUGGACGAAAGUCUGACGGAGCAACGCCGCGUGAGUGAUGAAGGUUUUCGGAUCGUAAAGCUCUGUUGUUAGGGAAGAACAAGUACCGUUCGAAUAGGGCGGUACCUUGACGGUACCUAACCAGAAAGCCACGGCUAACUACGUGCCAGCAGCCGCGGUAAUACGUAGGUGGCAAGCGUUGUCCGGAAUUAUUGGGCGUAAAGGGCUCGCAGGCGGUUUCUUAAGUCUGAUGUGAAAGCCCCCGGCUCAACCGGGGAGGGUCAUUGGAAACUGGGGAACUUGAGUGCAGAAGAGGAGAGUGGAAUUCCACGUGUAGCGGUGAAAUGCGUAGAGAUGUGGAGGAACACCAGUGGCGAAGGCGACUCUCUGGUCUGUAACUGACGCUGAGGAGCGAAAGCGUGGGGAGCGAACAGGAUUAGAUACCCUGGUAGUCCACGCCGUAAACGAUGAGUGCUAAGUGUUAGGGGGUUUCCGCCCCUUAGUGCUGCAGCUAACGCAUUAAGCACUCCGCCUGGGGAGUACGGUCGCAAGACUGAAACUCAAAGGAAUUGACGGGGGCCCGCACAGCGGUGGAGCAUGUGGUUUAAUUCGAAGCAACGCGAAGAACCUUACCAGGUCUUGACAUCCUCUGACAAUCCUAGAGAUAGGACGUCCCCUUCGGGGGCAGAGUGACAGGUGUUGCAUGGUUGUCGUCAGCUCGUGUCGUGAGAUGUUGGGUUAAGUCCCGCAACGAGCGCAACCCUUGAUCUUAGUUGCCAGCAUUCAGUUGGGCACUCUAAGGUGACUGCCGGUGACAAACCGGAGGAAGGUGGGGAUGACGUCAAAUCAUCAUGCCCCUUAUGACCUGGGCUACACACGUGCUACAAUGGACAGAACAAAGGGCAGCGAAACCGCGAGGUUAAGCCAAUCCCACAAAUCUGUUCUCAGUUCGGAUCGCAGUCUGCAACUCGACUGCGUGAAGCUGGAAUCGCUAGUAAUCGCGGAUCAGCAUGCCGCGGUGAAUACGUUCCCGGGCCUUGUACACACCGCCCGUCACACCACGAGAGUUUGUAACACCCGAAGUCGGCGAGGUAACCUUUUAGGAGCCAGCCGCCGAAGGUGGGACAGAUGAUCGGGGUGAAGUCGUAACAAGGUAGCCGUAUCGGAGGGUGCGGCUG